rnacentral:rRNA from 1 species
AGAUUGAACGCUGGCGGCAUGCCUUACACAUGCAAGUCGAACGGCAGCACGGGGGCAACCCUGGUGGCGAGUGGCGAACGGGUGAGUAAUGCAUCGGAACGUGCCCAGUAGUGGGGGAUAACUAGUCGAAAGAUUAGCUAAUACCGCAUACGACCUAUGGGUGAAAGCGGGGGAUUCGGCAAGAACCUCGCGCUAUCGGAGCGGCCGAUGUCUGAUUAGCUAAGUUGGCGGGUAAAGCCACCAAGGCUUCGAUCAGUAGCUGGUCUGAGAGACGACCAGCCACGACUGGGACUGAGACACGGCCCAGACUCCUACGGGAGGCAGCGAGUGGGAACUUUGGAC